rnacentral:rRNA from 1 species
AACGUAGGACACAAGCGUUAUCCGGAGUUACUGGGCGUAAAGGGCGUGUAGGCGGAUCAAUAAGUCUAUUCUGAAAGCUCCUGGCUAAACUGGGAGAGGCGAAUGGAGACUGUUGGUCUAGAGUGAGGAAGAGGAAAGUGGAAUUCCGCGUGUAGUGGUGAAAUGCGUAGAGAUGCGGAGGAACACCAGUGGCGAAAGCGGCUUUCUGGUCCUUAACUGACGCUG